UGGUCUACAAAAGGCAACAUUCAGCCCAAACUCUCUUCGGAUUAAAGAUGUAGAGGAAAUAUAUUUUUGAAAUGAGACUCUGGGAGGCAGAUAAUUGCAAAUAUGUAAAUAAUCCAUGACUGUAAUCCCCUGAAUUGGGACAUCACAUGGUCAGUGUUACGACCUGCAGCUGCAGUCCAAGAGCGUGAAACCGUCUUCCUGGAGCUCUCCAAGGGGCAGGAUGUGGAUGGUUUUGAUGCGGAUCUUGAUCCUUCAGUGAAGUGGAAGCUCCCGCAGGAAGCGCCUUAACGCUCAGAUACCCUAUGAUGCUGUUUAAACCUCUGCUGUUUUGUAAGAGAAUUAUUUUGGCAGUGUGUAAUGAUGAUAUCAAUCAUUUGGCACAAACUGUCGUGGAACUCAUGUUACGACAUUACCCAGAAGUGCUGAUGUAAGUCUUCGUGCCAGAUGGAGAGCUUGUGCUGAAGUCAAUCAGUGAUGGCACGGGCUGAGACCAUCACCCAGUCGUAGCCAAGGUAGAUAGGUGAUGGAUGGAGAUACAGAUAUGGAUGGAUGGAUGGAUGGACGGACAUGAUAGAAAGCCAGGUUUGUGAUAAAAACAGAACCAAACCCAAGGAGUUCUCCUGUGGUGCAGCGGGCUAAGGACCCAACGUUGUCACUGCGUGAAUGUGCUCUGGGAAUAGGUGUCAUGUCGGAAAAGCAGCUGUGACUGGAACCGCUCCUUGUUUUCACUUGUCAUCUCCUGGUCAUUCUCCAGGAUCCAUCUGGCUUCUGGAGGGAUGGGGCCGUCGAAUUAAGUGAAGAUGUAACACCUCUCUCUUUGUAUUCUCGGUGUCAUGUAUGGUCUCUGCUUUUUCCCUCUUCGAGAUGCAGUAUUGCUCUUGAUGGCGUGUCUUGGCUAGGGGUGGGAUAGAGGGACUUGUCAGAGGCGUUCAUUUUUCCUCCCCCGUAAUGAGAGUUCUUAGCCCACAGCAAGGACCCAAUAUGGGGUUAUCCCAACUACCGAGUCUGUCUAUUCCAAUACUAUGCUUGGUGAUAGAGAAAUGACCACUGGGUGUGCUUAGAGAACCGGGAGGGCCACAUAAAGCUGAACUGAACCAGAGCUCCAUUUAGUACCAUGGCUCUGCUACCUUUCUAACAGGGGGGCCGUAGGAACACCUUGGUUUUCCAGGGGUCAGUGCACAUUUAGAUCCCACGCCUAACAGCCCUCGAAAUGUCUCCAGUGCGGGGUCAUCCAAAUAAAAGGCUGUCGGUCCCUUUGCAUAGGGACUUGGGGAAACAAUCAGAGUAUGUACUUGUCAAGAUGCUGCAGGAUCUUUCAUCUUUCAGGCUACUCCUUCAGACAGUAAACUGGGAUCUGAAAUUUAGCUCAGGACUGGGCACUAAGCAAGGGAUACCUUUUCAUUGGGGUGGUGAUACUAAGACAUGUAUUGUCAGACGAGACAUAAAACAACAACAGUAACAACAGCAAAACCCGCGGUUCCACUAUGUGCUGUGCAAAAUAAACGCACUUCAAAUAGAAUGGUAUAGGCACAUUGGUAUAGUUGAAAAUGAAAGGGAAGAAAGGCACCAUGCAAAUACUAAUCAAAGGAAAGUAGGAAUGACUAUAUUAAUAUCAGACAAGUAGUCAUCAGGGUAUGGAAAUUUACCAAAGACAAAGAUGGACACUGUAGGAGUUCUCUUGUGGCACAGCAGGUUGAAGAUCCUGCGUUGUCACUGAGGCAGCUUGGGUCACUGCUGUGAUAUGGGUUCUAUCCCUGGCCCAGGAACUUCCAUAUGCUAAGGGCACAACCAAAAAAAAAAAAAAAAAAAAAAAAA
rnacentral:lncRNA from 1 species